AUCCCACAGUAAAAUCUGGAAGGGUACAAACCAGACCGUACCACUAUCUUAGAGAGGUGGUAUUAGAAAGAUUGUUUCUGAUAGAUCCUCAGCUCGACAAAUAGACAGAUUAAGAGCACUAAAAAUUUGUAUCAAACAGUACAAUGUAAAUAGAUCAUCAGUACAAUAUCCAGAUCCAGAUUCACAUAUAUCAGCAUCACUAAGCUCCUAUUAUGAGCUCGAACCACAAAAAUUUAUUGUACACAGUUGUCAUACCCGUCUUUUUGCAAAAAAAUGUUGUUUCCAUGGCUCAAUCCUAUGACCUCUUGGCCACAUGCAACAACUUUACUAGUUACAAGGCUCCCCCCUUCUGCGAGAGACAUUUAAAUAAAUUGAAGAAAAAACGAACAUUAAAUCGAAAUUCUGUAACUUGUGUAUGUGGCUGCACCUAAGCCCCAAAAUUAAUAGAUAAAAAACGAUGUGGUAGCAUAAUAACCACCAACAAAUUUCUUAUUAAAAUAAUCUGUAAUAAAUGGAUACUAGUAAAAGAUUUACACAUCUUUUGACUGUGAUCUCACUAAACUAGCCUCCCAUCCAUGUGCCCCUACUGCUAUGACAUAUCUUACUGAGAUUACAGUACUAUGGAUUUGCCUAUAUUGAAUACAACCAAGAAAGUGAUUCACAUAAAAACAGAACAAAUCACAAAUUCCUUGGUUGAGCAAAAUAAUGAAGUGAUCAACCACAAUCAAGUCAAAACUAACUUGGAUGAUUUACAGCAAAUUGUGAAGACAGCAGUGCACUAUCUUGCCUCGACUCCGCAAGAGAAAAUCAGACAAUGGACCUGCAGAAUAUGGGGACAAUCAGCAAAACUGUAUUCCAUCACUCAAUAAGAAAUUAAGGCCUGUUAAACAUUCAAAAUUCAUCAGCUGUAACAACAGAGCAGC
rnacentral:lncRNA from 1 species